rnacentral:rRNA from 1 species
GUCGAACGGUCUCUAGCAAUAGAGAUAGUGGCGCACGGGUGCGUAACGCGUAACCAACCUACCCGAAUCUGGGGGAUAGCCCGCCGAAAGGCGGAUUAAUACCGCAUAAAACGGCAGACCGGCAUCGGUUCACCGUUAAAGAUUUAUUGGAUUCGGAUGGGGUUGCGUGCCAUUAGCUAGUUGGCGGGGUAACGGCCCACCAAGGCGACGAUGGCUAGGGGAGCUGAGAGGCUGGUCCCCCACACGGGCACUGAGAUACGGGCCCGACUCCUACGGGAGGCAGCAGUAGGGAAUAUUGGGCAAUGGCCGAGAGACUGACCCAGCCAUGCCGCGUGCAGGAUGAAGGCUUUCUGAGUCGUAAACUGCUUUUACCAGGGAAGAAAAAAGGGGAUGCGUCCUCUACUGACGGUACCUGGUGAAUAAGCACCGGCUAACUCCGUGCCAGCAGCCGCGGUAAUACGGAGGGUGCAAGCGUUGUCCGGAUUUAUUGGGUUUAAAGGGUGCGUAGGCGGCUUUUUAAGUCCGGGGUGAAAGCCCGUUGCUCAACAACGGAACUGCCCCGGAAACUGGAGAGCUUGAGUACAGACGAGGGUGGCGGAAUGGACGGUGUAGCGGUGAAAUGCAUAGAUACCGUCCAGAACCCCGAUUGCGAAGGCAGCUGCCUAGACUGUAACUGACGCUGAGGCACGAAAGCGUGGGGAGCGAACAGGAUUAGAUACCCUGGUAGUCCACGCCGUAAACGAUGGAUACUCGCUGCGGGCGAUAGACGGUCCGUGGCUUAGCGAAAGCGUUAAGUAUCCCACCUGGGGAGUACGCUCGCAAGAGUGAAACUCAAAAGAAUUGACGGGGGCCCGCACAAGUGGUGGAGCAUGUGGUUUAAUUCGAUGAUACGCGAGGAACCUUACCUAGGCUAGAAUGCGCGUGACCGGUCCAGAGAUGGACCUUUCCUUCGGGGCA